AGUGAACGCUGGCGGUAGGCCUAACACAUGCAAGUCGAACGGCAGCACAGUAAGAGCUUGCUCUUACGGGUGGCGAGUGGCUGACGGGUGAGGAAUACAUCGGAAUCUACUUUUUCGUGGGGGAUAACGUAGGGAAACUUACGCUAAUACCGCAUACGACCUACGUGUGAAAGCAGGGGAUCUUCGGCCCUUGCGCGAUUGAAUGAGCCGAUGUCGGAUUAGCUAGUUGGCGGGGUAAAGGCCCACCAAGGCGACGAUCCGUAGCUGGUCUGAGAGGAUGAUCAGUCACACUGGAACUGAGACACGGUCCAGACUCCUACGGGAGGCAGCAGUGGGGAAUAUUGGACAAUGGGCGCAAGCCUGAUCCAGCCAUACCGCGUGGGUGAAGAAGGCCUUCGGGUUGUAAAGCCCUUUUGUUUGGAAAGAAAAGCAGCAGGUUAAUACCCCGCUGUUCUGACGUUACCCAAAGAAUAAGCACCGGCUAACUUCGUG
rnacentral:rRNA from 1 species